rnacentral:rRNA from 1 species
AAGCGUUUGCGACCAGACCUUUUCCAGGCGGAUCAUCCGGUGUUCUCACCGGUGCACUUCGCCUGGUUUAGGCCAGCAUCGGUUUUCUUAGGGGGAUAAAGGUUUAGGGCACGUAGCUCCUUCGGGAGUGUUAUAGCCCUCUACGUAAUACCCUUCGGGGGACCGAGGACCGCGCAUUGCAAGGAUGCUGGCGUAAUGGUCGUCAACGA